GUACAGUAGAGGUGGGCGGAAUUCGUGGUGUAGCGGUGAAAUGCUUAGAUAUCACGAAGAACUCCGAUUGCGAAGGCAGCUCACUGGACUGCAACUGACACUGAUGCUCGAAAGUGUGGGUAUCAAACAGGAUUAGAUACCCUGGUAGUCCACACAGUAAACGAUGAAUACUCGCUGUUUGCGAUAUACAGUAAGCGGCCAAGCGAAAGCAUUAAGUAUUCCACCUGGGGAGUACGCCGGCAACGGUGAAACUCAAAGGAAUUGACGGGGGCCCGCACAAGCGGAGGAACAUGUGGUUUAAUUCGAUGAUACGCGAGGAACCUUACCCGGGCUUAAAUUGCAGUGGAAUGAUGUGGAAACAUGUCAGUGAGCAAUCACCGCUGUGAAGGUGCUGCAUGGUUGUCGUCAGCUCGUGCCGUGAGGUGUCGGCUUAAGUGCCAUAACGAGCGCAACCCUUAUCUUCAGUUACUAACAGGUCAUGCUGAGGACUCUGGAGAGACUGCCGUCGUAAGAUGUGAGGAAGGUGGGGAUGACGUCAAAUCAGCACGGCCCUUACGUCCGGGGCUACACACGUGUUACAAUGGGGGGUACAGAAGGCAGCUAGCGGGUGACCGUAUGCUAAUCCCAAAAUCCUCUCUCAGUUCGGAUCGAAGUCUGCAACCCGACUUCGUGAAGCUGGAUUCGCUAGUAAUCGCGCAUCAGCCACGGCGCGGUGAAUACGUUCCCGGGCCUUGUACACACCGCCCGUCAAGCCAUGGGAGCCGGGNNNNNNUGAAGUACGUAACCGCAAGGAUCGUCCUAGGGUAAAACUGGUGACUGGGGAUAGGUCGUAACAAGGUAACCA
rnacentral:rRNA from 1 species